AGAAUCAACGCUGGCGGCGUGCCUAACACAUGCAAGUCGAACGAGAAAGUGGGAGCAAUCCCACGAGUAAAGUGGCGCACGGGUGAGUAACACGUGACUAACCUACCCUUGAGUGGGGGAUAACCUAGGGAAACCUGGGCUAAUACCGCAUAAUACCUACGGGUCAAAGCAGCAAUGCGCUGGAAGAGGGGGUCGCGGCCGAUUAGCUAGUUGGCGGGUAAUGGCCCACCAAGGCAGUGAUCGGUA
rnacentral:rRNA from 1 species